AUUACAGUUGUGUGACUUAACAAAGCUGCUGCUGUUUGGAUGAGAUGUGUUUCAGGACUUUGUCUCUCCUUUCCUUCACUUACAAAUGGUAUGAAGACAUUCUCUGUGAUGUCUGUAUGACUGAAGGUAGCAGAAGGAGUAAAACUGGGAAAGUUGAAUACGUUCAAUGCACUUAAAGAAGCCUGGAAGUUAAUGACAUCAUUGGCAGACAGCUCUGGCCUCGUGCAUCUGGAGAUCCAAACAGCCCUGCUUGAUGCUGGCACAUUUUGGUGUGAGUGUCAGGACAUGGUGACCAUGAUGUGCUUGACCAAACUUGGUGCUGACAUUUGGGACCUGAGGAGGUGUCGGAGACCGGUAGAAGGGAGCUGACAUGACACCAGUGCCGCUCCCAGAGGACAUGCUACAACCUCUUGACAUGGAGCUUGCAGUAAGGAAGAACUGAACUCUCUGUGCAUCCUGCAGCAGAAGCACCCCAAGCUGCUGCCCACAGCUUUCUUUCUGCUCCCCUCCUGAGGUCUGAGGACUGUUCAAGAAAACAUCCAAUUCCCAAACUUCUGGCGAAUGCUUUUAUCACCCUUCAUUCUCUCUACCAGCUUACUUGCCCUUGAAAUUUGUCCACAGAGAAUGACUAAAAAUUUGCUCAUGAACUUAAAAAAUUGGCAUGAGACUUCCAUGGUUUAUGGGCAUGGUGGUGGUAGGCUAAUGGUUGGAUUAUAGGUCUUUUCCAACCUCAAUGAUUCUAUGAUUCAUGCUGCCAACACAAAGACCAACAAAGCUUACUGUGCUUGGAUACUGAAGAAAACUUCUUUUGGAGGAACCAUUUUGAGAAGCACCAUUUUGUUUCUACCCAGGUGGGCCCUUCCAGAGUUCCCAAGCACCCCCUUCCCCAGCUCAGUAAUGGAAAUGUACUGCAAUCAACUUCCCAACGUGUAACCUUAACUUUUUGAAGUGACGAGUCUUCUGCCCUUACACUGCCUUCAGCUUCUUUAGAUAAGGGAAGGAAGAAAGCAAAAGAUUAAUAAACCAUCUCCCGCUCCCAUAUGUUGAGAAACUAUGCUAGCAUUGACAACAGACUGGCCAAUAUUCAUAAUAAUCUUUUAUCUGGAUGGCAGUGAAAGUUUCCACUAGUCUUACUAAGCUUUUGGCUAUUCAUGUGUAUUGUAUGAAAGAAUCCAGAUUUAUCAAUGUCAAUCUGUAAAUUAGCAAUAAUUUCUGGUUUUGCGUUGGAAGAGUGGGGGUCAAGGGAAAAAAACACAGGUUUAAAGGAAGAUGGGAUUGUCUUCCUGCCAUUUUGUCUGUGUUUGAUUUCUUCAGCUCUGCGCUGCCUGGAAAUCAGUCCAAGAUGUUACAACAGAUGUCUGACAGCACUUCAGCUCGCUGCUUGAGAUCCGAGCAGUGCUGAGCUUGAAGUCAGCUGGUGGUAGCACUUGACCCAGGUUCAGUGAGCUCACCCCAGGGCUUACUGAGUGUGCUGUGAUUGCUGGGGAACACUAUCCAAGCAGAUGUUUAGCUGGCAAACUUGCCUCUCUCUGUUGUUCUGUCCCCUGUGAGAACAUGUGAAACACAGGAUGCUGGAUUUUCCUUGGGAGAGAAACAGGGCCGUGGGGAGAAGCGCUGGCUGGUGGUGGUAGCCAAAUGUUCCCACCAGGAAUUCAAACUGUCCCCCUGCACAUCUCAAAGCAAAACUGCAAGAUUUGGUCCACUGCCAGUCCUUCCAAGUUUCCGGCAUGGUCUGGUUUGUGACACGAGCUCUGCAAAACGUAUUCCAUAUGUUUGUUCCACCAGAAAUCCUAUUGGUUUGUGAUACCGCAACUGAGCUUGCUUGUGGACAUUUGAUCCCUGUCUGGGUAAGAUGAAGAUUCGCUCUACAAGGAAUUUUAAGUCAAAUGUUAGUUCCGCCUCAGCCUGGAUUAUAUAUGUGCUGACAAAAAUAAAUCUGACGUUUUAUUCCUGCCUU
ensembl:lncRNA